rnacentral:rRNA from 1 species
UACGGGGGGGGCAAGCGUUGUUCGGAAUUACUGGGCGUAAAGGGCUCGUAGGCGGCCAACUAAGUCAGACGUGAAAUCCCUCGGCUUAACCGGGGAACUGCGUCUGAUACUGGAUGGCUUGAGUUUGGGAGAGGGAUGCGGAAUUCCCGGUGUAGCGGUGAAAUGCGCAGAUAUCGGGAGGAACACCAAUGGCGAAGGCGGGUCUCUGGACAGUUCCUGACGCUGAGGCACGAAGGCCAGGGGAGCAAACGGG